GAGGAUAUCUAAAGCUCUAAGAGUGUCCACGUAUGCAAAUUAAUUCCAGCCAAUCAAAUCGUUUUAAGAUGCCAUAUCAGCUUUGACACAACCUAACCUAAAGGCUUUCUUCCUCUUUCGUGGCCUUUCCGAUUACUCCAGCCAACUUCACCGUUCAGAGUUUCGCUUACAUCUUCUCCAAUUAAUUUUACACAUUAUUGCCCUUUUCAAAACAGUCGCAUCCUUUCUCCACUUCCCUUUAUCAUUCAUAUAAAGAAGGAUGCAGAGUGAAAGCAAUCCACUCAGAUUCUGUGUCAAAAGCAGGUUAGUUCAAAAACUUAAUUCUGGGUUCUAUAGUUAUUAUAACAGUGUUUCAAGAAAAAAAAGUUAUUAUAACCGAUUUAUUUUGAUUGAGUUUCAUUGUCGUCAUUGCAAAGAGGGGGAUUUUAUUAAAUGCCCCAGAUUGUUCUACAACGGAGGAUUUCUACGCCACCAUAGGUCAUGGGUUUACUGGAAUAGUUAGUUGUCUACACAACAUCCCAGACUAAGAGAUCAGAAAAGAAGGGUUGGUGAAGAAGCUUCAAGUGAAACACGAGAAGAUUCUGAAUCUGAGCGAGUGGAUGAAGGGUAAAAGACACCACCGUCUUUGCAUUCUUCCAUAUAAUUCCGCCGCCUCCUGAUCCUUCUGACGAGGAAGCUGUUGUUGCUUACAAUACUUUGCUCAAUCGGUACGGUUUGAGCAAUGGAGAAUCUGGUUCUGUGUUGGGCAAAAGGAAAGAUAAGGGGGGGGGGGGGGGGGGG